rnacentral:rRNA from 1 species
GAUGAACGCUGGCGGCGUGCCUAAUACAUGCAAGUCGUUCGAACAGACGAGGAGCUUGCUCCUCUGACGUUAGCGGCGGACGGGUGAGUAACACGUGGAUAACCUACCUAUAAGACUGGGAUAACUUCGGGAAACCGGAGCUAAUACCGGAUAAUAUAUUGAACCGCAUGGUUCAAUAGUGAAAGACGGUUUUGCUGUCACUUAUAGAUGGUUCCGCGCCGCAUUAGCUAGUUGGUAAGGUAACGGCUUACCAAGGCAACGAUGCGUAGCCGACCUGAGAGGGUGAGCGGCCACACUGGAACUGAGACACGGUCAAGACGACUACGGGAGGCAGCAGUAGGGAAUCUGCGGCGAUGGGCGAAAGCCUGACGGAGCAACGCCGCGUGAGUGAUGAAGGUCUUCGGAGCGUAAAACUCUGUUAUUAGGGAAGAACAAAUGUGUAAGUAACUAUGCACGUCUUGACGGUACCUAAUCAGAAAGCCACGGCUAACUACGUG